UACAGAGGUCUCAAGCGUUGUUCGGAUUUACUGGGCGUAAAGGGCGCGUAGGCGGCGUGACAAGUCACUUGUGAAAUCUCCGGGCUUAACCCGGAAAGGUCAGCCGAUACUGCGGGGCUAGAGUGCAGAAGGGGCAACUGGAAUUCUCGGUGUAGCGGUGAAAUGCGUAGAUAUCGAGAGGAACACCUGCGGCGAAGGCGGCUCACUGGCCCGGUACUGACGCUGAGGUACGAAAGCGUGGGGAGCAAACAGG
rnacentral:rRNA from 1 species